GCCCCAUCCGAGGACACCCCCGGACAGGGCCAAACAGGACCAGGAACUACCAGGAACUUCCCACUCUGCCUGCCCUGCAAGAAACAGAGCCCCCGAUUUGUGGGUCCGUUCAAGGUUCUCUGGCAGGUCAACGAGGCCGGUGGUUCCUGGUCCCCUAGCUGAUGCAGUCCCCCACGACACCCCACCACCUCCCCCUGGACAUCGAGGGCAGUCCGGCGUAUGCUGUCAGAUCUCUGCUGGACACCCGGCGUCGUGGGGGGGUCGGCUCCAGUAUCUGGUAGACUGGAAGGGGUACGGCCCUUAGGAGCGGUGUUGGGACAUUCUGGAUCCCAACAUCAUCCGUGAUUUCCCAGGGUCCGUGCAUCAGAGGGGAGGUUACUUUCACAUCUGCUCCUCCCCUCCGGCGUGCGACAUUACCGGAAUACUAACCACUGGUCCUGGGACUCAUCAUGAUUCACACUUGGACCUCAUUACUUCCCCUUAUAGGUCCCUUCCUUUUGUUCAUUCCUCAGUUGGUAUUGAUCCUGUGUUCAUGCGAUCUCGCUUCUGUUACACUGUCUUGUUUCAUAUUUUUCGUUUCAUUAAAUGUUUCACCUGCACCUCC